CAAGUCGGACGGGAUUCAGAUUAAAGCUUGCUUUGAUUUGAUGAGAGUGGCGCACGGGUGCGUAACGCGUGAGCAACCUACCCAUAUCAGGGGGAUAGCCUCUCGAAAGAGAGAUUAACACCGCAUAACAUCAUUUACCGGCAUCGGAUUAUGAUCAAAUAUUUAUAGGAUAUGGAUGGGCUCGCGUGACAUUAGCUAGUUGGAGGGGUAACGGCCCACCAAGGCUACGAUGUCUAGGGGCUCUGAGAGGAGAAUCCCCCACACUGGUACUGAGACACGGACCAGACUCCUACGGGAGGCAGCAGUAAGGAAUAUUGGUCAAUGGAGGGAACUCUGAACCAGCCAUGCCGCGUGCAGGAUGACUGCCCUAUGGGUUGUAAACUGCUUUUGUCAGGGAAUAAACCUUUCCACGUGUGGGAAGCUGAAUGUACCUGAAGAAUAAGGAUCGGCUAACUCCGUGCCAGCAGCCGCGGUAAUACGGAGGAUCCAAGCGUUAUCCGGAUUUAUUGGGUUUAAAGGGUGCGUAGGCGGUCCUAUAAGUCAGUGGUGAAAGACGGCAGCUUAACUGUCGCAGUGCCUUUGAUACUGUAGGACUUGAAUCUAUUUGAAGUGGGCGGAAUAAGACAAGUAGCGGUGAAAUGCAUAGAUAUGUCUUAGAACUCCGAUUGCGAAGGCAGCUCACUAAGUUAGUAUUGACGCUGAUGCA
rnacentral:rRNA from 1 species